rnacentral:ncRNA from 1 species
UAGUGAUAAGUCCGAUGAAAGAAGGAAGAGACAAAAUCAAGACCUUGCGAACAGAAACUUGAUAAUUAAGGCUUUCUCAAAAGGGAUAGCUGACAAAAGUCAACGCAACCCACGAGACAUUUGAGAAGUAAAUCAAGAAGGCGCU